GUCUAUGGCUAUACUACCCUGAAUAUGCUUACUCUUAUCGACAAGCUAAACAGGGUCAGGCCUGGUAGAGGAAAAUCAUUCCGGAGACUGUAGCUG
rnacentral:rRNA from 1 species